rnacentral:rRNA from 1 species
CAGUCGCCACGGUAAUACAGAGGGUGCGAGCGUUAAUCGGAUUUACUGGGCGUAAAGGGCGCGUAGGCGGUUUAGUGAGUGUGAUGUGAAAGCCCCGGGCUUAACCUGGGAAGUGCAUCGCAAACGACUAAACUGGAGUAUAAGAGAGGGUGGCGGAAUUUCCGGUGUAGCGGUGAAAUGCGUAGAGAUCGGAAGGAACGUCAAUGGCGAAGGCAGCCACCUGGCUUAAUACUGACGCUGAGGCGCGAAAGCGUGGGGAUCAAACAGGAUUAGAUACCCGUGUAGUCCCUGUCUCUUAUAC